UGCCAGCCGCCGCGGUAAUACGGAGGGUGCAAGCGUUGUCCGGAUUUACUGGGCGUAAAGAGAUCGUAGGUGGUUUAUUAAGUCGGAUGUGAAAUCCCGGGGCUCAACCGUGGAACUGCGGGAGAUACUGCUCGUCUUGAGUUCGGGAGAGGAGUGUGGAAUUCCCAGUGUAGCGGUGAAAUGCGUAGAUAUUGGGAAGAACACCAGUGGCGAAGGCGGCUAACUGGCUCGGUACUGACGCUGAGAUGCGAAAGCGUGGGGAGCAAACAGGAUUAUACA
rnacentral:rRNA from 1 species